UCCUCCUUACAGAGGCGGUUUUGUCCGAGUUCCCGACAUGACUCGCUGGCAACAGACAAUGAGGGUUGCGCUCGUUGAAGGACUUAACCUAACAUCUCACGACACGAGCUGACGACAGCCAUGCGUCACCUGUCACCGAGUUCCUUGCGGCACAGCCCAGCUUCCUGGGCCUUCUCGGGAUGUCAAACCUUGGUAAGGUUCUUCGCGUAUCCUCGAAUUAAACCACACGCUCCACCGCUUGUGCGGGUCCCCGUCAAUUCCUUUGAGUUUUAAGCUUGCGCUCGUACUCCCCAGGCGGAAUGCUUAACGCGUUAGCUUCGCUACCGAGCCGGUCGAUAGGCCCAACAGCUAGCAUUCAUCGUUUACGGCAUGGACUAC
rnacentral:misc_RNA from 1 species